GAAGUAACGCUAAGCUAUUGUUCCUUGUAUUAUCCAAUCUUUACAGAAAACUCUCACAAAAUGGGAGAAGGAUCGAUUCUAAUUGUCAUAAAAUAAAAACAUUAACUUUCAUUGGUAGACCUCCCAAUCAAGAUUUGACUCAUGGAUACGGUCCAACUAAAAUAUUAGUCCUGACUUUUCGAUAUGUCAAUCUCUCAUUGGUCCUUUUUUUUUUUUUUUUUGGUUCAAUGCUUUGGCACGUGGUAUAAGUAUUAUAUUAUAACUUUGCGGCCAGAUUUUUAGCUGAGAAUUCUUUCGGGUUUGCGAGCAAGAUGGCCUGCUCAGGACCUUUUCGUCUUUCUGAUGUCUUUACUGCUUAUCAGUGUUCCGAGAUCUUAGCCGUGAGUUCACCGCAGGUCUCCAACUCCUCUGUCUAAACCUGGAUGAUAUAUACCGCAGCUUUCGAAGAAAAUAGGUAGGCUUCUUGAUUUUGUUUAUGCAGAAGAAUAUAGGUAGAAGAUUAGGUUGAAGUAAGGCAAGCAUGAAGAGCAAGGACCAAAAGCUUCAGUAGCGAAUUCGGGGAAGCGCAAGCCAUCGCGCUUUACAUCACAUUUUUUGAACUAUUACCACACUAUAAUACCAUAUCGUUUGCCCAAAGAUCACAUAUGAUCAUAUUCAUUGAAGCUUCCUGUGUGUGGAAAAAUGAACUACCUUCUUGCUCUUGAAAGCCAGCUUAUAUAUAAAAUAAACAGUUUUUAUUAGUUCCCA